GCCCGGUUAGCUCAAUCGGUAGAGCGUGAGACUCUUAAUCUCAAGGUUGCGGGUAAGUCAAUCCUCAACAUCUGAGA